rnacentral:rRNA from 1 species
GAUGAACGCUGGCGGCGUGCCUAAAACAUGCAAGUCGAGCGAAUGGAUUAAGAGCUUGCUCUUAUGAAGUUAGCGGCGGACGGGUGAGUAACACGUGGGUAACCUGCCCAUAAGACUGGGAUAACUCCGGGAAACCGGGGCUAAUACCGGAUAACAUUUUGAACCGCAUGGUUCGAAAUUGAAAGGCGGCUUCGGCUGUCACUGAUGGAUGGACCCGCGUCGCAUUAGCUAGUUGGUGAGGUAACGGCUCACCAAGGCAACGAUGCGUAGCCGACCUGAGAGGGUGAUCGGCCACACUGGGACUGAGACACGGCCCAGGCUCCUACGGGAGGCAGCAGUAGGGAAUCUUCCGCAAUGGACGAAAGUCUGACGGAGCAACGCCGCGUGAGUGAUGAAGGCUUUCGGGUCGUAAAACUCUGUUGUUAGGGAAGAACAAGUGCUAGUUGAAUAAGCUGGCACCUUGACGGUACCUAACCAGAAAGCCACGGCUAACUACGUGCCAGCAGCCGCGGUAA